rnacentral:misc_RNA from 1 species
GAUGAAGAACGCAGUGAAAUGCGAUAAGUAAUGUGAAUUGCAGAGUUCAGUGAAUCAUCGAAUCUUUGAACGCACAUUGCGCCCCCUGGUAUUCCGGGGGGCAUGCCUGUUCGAGCGUCAUUUCACCACUCAAGCCUCGCUUGGUAUUGGGCAACGCGGUCCGCCGCGUGCCUCAAAUCGUCCGGCUGGGUCUUCUGUCCCCUAAGCGUUGUGGAAACUAUUCGCUAAAGGGUGUUCGGGAGGCUACGCCGUAAAACAACCCCAUUUCUAAGGUUGACCUCGGAUCAGGUAGGGAUACCCGCUGAACUUAAGCAUAUCAAUAAGCGGAGGA